rnacentral:rRNA from 1 species
AGCUUGCUAGGAGGCGUCGAGCGGCGGACGGGUGAGUAAUGCAUAGGAAUCUGCCCGGUAGUGGGGGAUAACCUGAGGAAACUCAGGCUAAUACCGCAUACGUCCUACGGGAGAAAGCAGGGGCUCUUCGGACCUUGCGCUAUCGGAUGAGCUUAUGUCGGAUUAGCUGGUUGGUGAGGUAACGGCUCACCAAGGCGACGAUCCGUAGCUGGUCUGAGAGGAUGAUCAGCCACAUCGGGACUGAGACACGGCCCGAACUCCUACGGGAGGCAGCAGUGGGGAAUAUUGGACAAUGGGGGCAACCCUGAUCCAGCCAUGCCGCGUGUGUGAAGAAGGCCCUCGGGUUGUAAAGCACUUUCAGUGAGGAAGAAGGCUUGUCGGUUAAUACCCGGCAAGAAAGACAUCACUCACAGAAGAAGCACCGGCUAACUCCGUGCCAGCAGCCGCGGUAAUACGGAGGGUGCGAGCGUUAAUCGGAAUUACUGGGCGUAAAGCGUGCGUAGGCGGCUUGAUAAGCCGGUUGUGAAAGCCCCGGGCUCAACCUGGGAACGGCAUCCGGAACUGUCAGGCUAGAGUGCAGGAGAGGAAGGUAGAAUUCCCGGUGUAGCGGUGAAAUGCGUAGAGAUCGGGAGGAAUACCAGUGGCGAAGGCGGCCUUCUGGACUGACACUGACGCUGAGGUACGAAAGCGUGGGUAGCAAACAGGAUUAGAUACCCUGGUAGUCCACGCCGUAAACGAUGUCGACUAGCCGUUGGGGUCCUCGAGACCUUUGUGGCGCAGUUAACGCACUAAGUCGACCGCCUGGGGAGUACGGCCGCAAGGUUAAAACUCAAAUGAAUUGACGGGGGCCCGCACAAGCGGUGGAGCAUGUGGUUUAAUUCGAUGCAACGCGAAGAACCUUACCUACCCUUGACAUCGUGCGAACUUUCCAGAGAUGGAUUGGUGCCUUCGGGAACGCACAGACAGGUGCUGCAUGGCUGUCGUCAGCUCGUGUUGUGAAAUGUUGGGUUAAGUCCCGUAACGAGCGCAACCCUUGUCCCUAUUUGCCAGCGAUUCGGUCGGGAACUCUAGGGAGACUGCCGGUGACAAACCGGAGGAAGGUGGGGACGACGUCAAGUCAUCAUGGCCCUUACGGGUAGGGCUACACACGUGCUACAAUGGCCGGUACAAUGGGUUGCAAAGCGGCGACGUGGAGCUAAUCCCAUAAAGCCGGUCUCAGUCCGGAUCGGAGUCUGCAACUCGACUCCGUGAAGUCGGAAUCGCUAGUAAUCGUGCAUCAGAAUGGCACGGUGAAUACGUUCCCGGGCCUUGUACACACCGCCCGUCACACCAUGGGAGUGGACUGCACCAGAAGUGGUUAGC